GUAUAGGUGAAUUUUUGUAAAAUCUGUCACCUCACUUAUUACCAAGAUCAUUCCACUGAUCUGGCUGGCUAGAUGACUGUCCCCCUUUUCCCUUGACACUCUAUAUACAACCUUCUCCAAUAUGUAGUCUGACACAAAAGGCUAAACUUUGCCCAAAGAGGAAGCCCUUUCUUGGGUCACGGGUAUAUGAGUAGCUGCACUCCCGUGCUACUAGACCAUCCAAACAAGCCCUCAAGGUCCACUUGAGAACAAAAGGUGGUCAAGCAUCCAGUCCUCCAAACACAUCCAAAGGAGACCCUGUGUGAGGAAGUCUAUCUUU
rnacentral:snRNA from 1 species